rnacentral:lncRNA from 1 species
GUUAGCAUGCAUAGUAAAUUUUGACCUUUCAGAAGAUAAUCUAAGUAAGCCAAUGGCAAGGUCUUUUGAGAUUAAGUACAUACUAGCAUGAGUUGAUUUUAUAUGCCAAAGAUGGUUUCUUUAAUCUUGGUAUUCAUAGUGCAUAUAUUCAAAAGCACACCAAGUACACAUUAUCAUAUCUAUGAUCAAUAAACAAUAAUGCCAUGGAUAAAAACUCUCAAUCAAGCAUAUAGAGAAUUCAUAGAUUUAUU